UAUAGGGAAUGAAGUUCUCCCUCGGUCAAACCGAAACCGCUUUUUAAAGCUGAUGACUUCUGUG
rnacentral:ncRNA from 1 species